GCCAUCGUGGCUCAAUGGUAGGGCGUCGCUUUCCUACUUGGCAUUUGUUGCGGUAUGAGGCGAAGAUUGCGGGUUCGAGUCCCGUCGUUGGUA